rnacentral:rRNA from 1 species
UACAGAGGGUGCAAGCGUUGUUCGGAAUUAUUGGGCGUAAAGCGCGUGUAGGCGGCUUUGCAAGUCGGGUGUGAAAGCCCUCAGCUCAACUGAGGAAGUGCGCCCGAAACUGCAGAGCUUGAGUGCCGGAGAGGGUGGCGGAAUUCCCCAAGUAGAGGUGAAAUUCGUAGAUAUGGGGAGGAACACCGGUGGCGAAGCGGACGC